GCACACAGAAUAUGCAAAUAGAGAACAGAUUAAUGUGAACCACAGUCAGUCACUGAAAUAGAAAGUGGUGAUAGUUCCUGUAAUACUUGUGAACUUUUCACAUAACCAUUAAAAGCAACACAAUGCAAUAGACACUGCAUUUGAAAAAGAGGUGAAGCACUUUAGAAACGUAAAAAAAAAAAAAUUAAAAUCAGCAGUAAUGAUGAAUUUUCCCGAUUUACAUUUAAAAAUGAAAGAGAAAUGUCAACCUGGAGAAGAUUGUGCAAAGGUGGAGCCUAAUUAGAAAAAGCUACAAAACUGAGGCAAUAAGGAGGAAAUUAUUAGUGUCA